rfam:Camelus ferus unplaced genomic scaffold scaffold1907, whole genome shotgun sequence.
GAGGGUAUAGCUCAGUGGUAGAGGCCAUGUUUAGCAUGCAUGAGGUCCUGGGUUCAAUCCCCAGUAACUCCA